GGGCCCGUGGCCAAGCCAGGAUAAAGGCGUCGAGAGGAUUAGCCUCACGAGCCGAAGAGCCUGGGUUCAAAUCCCAGCGGGCCCG
rnacentral:tRNA from 1 species